AUUGAACGCUGGCGGCAUGCCUUACACAUGCAAGUCGAACGGUAACAGGUCUUCGGAUGCUGACGAGUGGCGAACGGGUGAGUAAUACAUCGGAACGUGCCUAGUAGUGGGGGAUAACUACUCGAAAGAGUGGCUAAUACCGCAUGAGAUCUACGGAUGAAAGCAGGGGAUCGCAAGACCUUGUGCUACUAGAGCAGCCGAUGGCAGAUUAGGUAGUUGGUGGGAUAAAAGCUUACCAAGCCGACGAUCUGUAGCUGGUCUGAGAGGACGAUCAGCCACACUGGGACUGAGACACGGCCCAGACUCCUACGGGAGGCAGCAGUGGGGAAUUUUGGACAAUGGGCGAAAGCCUGUUCCAGCAAUGCCGCGUGCAGGAUGAAGGCCUUCGGGUUGUAAACUGCUUUUAUACGGAACGAAAAGCCCCGGGUUAAUACCCUGGGGUCAUGACGGUACCGUAAGAAUAAGCACCGGCUAACUACGUGCCAGCCGCCGCAGUAA
rnacentral:rRNA from 1 species